UGUAGGGUAGCUGAACUGGUCCAGCGCUCGCCUGUUAAGCGAGAGGAUGUGGGUUCGAGUCCCACCCCUACAGCCA
rnacentral:tRNA from 1 species